rnacentral:rRNA from 1 species
GACAGAGGGUGCAAACGUUGUUCGGAAUUACUGGGCGUAAAGCGCGUGUAGGCGGCUAUGUAAGUCGGGCGUGAAAUCCCACGGCUCAACCGUGGAAGUGCACCCGAAACUGCGUAGCUAGAGUCCUGGAGAGGAAGGUGGAAUGCUUGGUGUAGAGGUGAAAUUCGUAGAUAUCAAGCGGAACACCGGUGGCGAAGGCGGCCUUCUGGACAGUGACUGACGCUGAGGAGCGAAAGCGUGGGGAGCGAACAGG